UGCUUACGUCACGGUGCUGUUUUAGCUUAUUGGCAGUGUCGCUGGGCUAUAAAAACAGGAACAUGUGCAUUACCUGGGAUGCGUCACUUGGUGAACUGUUGCGUCAUUAACACGCUUCCGUCACUUCCCGGAACUGGAUGCGAGUGCUCGAGACGGUAAGAACGCGCUGCUAGUUUUGUUGGCUAUGGCAUGUGUUUACGAGAGGUGCACUCUCUGUCUAAUGUGUUUAGAGACGGUGACUUGGCUGGAGAGCACUCCUGCCUGACUCGAGAGUUUUGCUGCAAUGUCGUUUAUUAUCGUUUACGUAUAUUGGGUAUAGACAUCGAAGAAGCUGUGAGAACCUGACGCAGUUGCUGGAUCGCUGUUUUCCGUACUGGCCUUUGCUGGAAAAGAUUCAGUUUGUUGGCUCUUCAUAAAACAUUAAUCCCUUCAAUUGGUAGGUAUUUAUGCACGCACACAUUAGGAUGGGAGAGUAUUUCUAACAGAGUAACAGUCUCGCUUUAUUUAUAGGUGUUGUGACGGCACGUAACUGCAUUCCAGUCGGGGUGCGCUGUGUUCGUUUAUGGCUGCAGUGCUGUCCUGUUUCCAAUUUCAUUUUUUUGGUUAAUUUUUCUUUCUUGACUGUUUUGAAGUUUGGAUUAUUUCAUUUUCAAUUCUAAUUAUAUCUUUGUGAUUUAGUUGGUUUCUGUUUCUUCAGUUGCAUUAGAUUUCCGUAUUGUUUCCGGAGUUUGAAUUGUCUUUGUUUCCAAUUUUGAUUUAUAUUUUUGUGAUUAUAUUUUUGUAUAUUUUCUCCAGUUGCAUUAGAUUUUGUUUUUGUGACUUAUAUUAUGUGUUUAUAAAGUCUAUUCUGUGUUUUCUUUUGUUAUAUUUAUUUGUAUUUUGUUGAAAUUGUGAUUUUUGUUUCAAGCAACUAUUCAUUUGUUGCAAAAAUUCUAUUUAUUUGUGUUCUUGACUGGUUGAGUUGCACGACCCAGUUUCCAAAGGGACUGUGUACUUGAUUCAUAUCAUUUUUGUCUUGGCAGGGCCUGAGCACCAGGGGCAGAGGACUGCUUUUUCGGUGGUGGUAUAUUCCUCAUAAGUGUGCAGUGACCACCUCACUGUGUGUGUGUGUGUGUGUUUGUGCGUGCGUGUGCGUCCGUGUACGCAGUGAAGUGCAGUGAUUCACCUACAAGUGGUGUGGUCUGAUUAUCCGCUUCUUUUUACUGGUAAGCUCUAGUCCCUGGCCCUCAACUGGUUCUAAACUCUAAGAGGCCCGUUGGCUGGGACAAAUGUUUAAUUAUUUAUUUUAAUGUUUUUAAUGAAGAUGUUAAUAAAGAAGAAAUUUUGUACAGUUACCCCUGUCCCUGACUCUAAUAAGUGACACGAACCUGUGUAUGCCACUGUAGGUGGCCUAUUCUAGUUCUUUGGGUGAGACUCCCAAAGUGGCGUAGUCGGAGUGAGAUUGUUAUCUUGUUAGUUUCCCACUGUAUUUAAAGUAAAAGUCCUUAUUGCCCUCGAACCCCCGCCACAUAAAAAAAAGGAGAAAAUCAUUAGUUAUAAAUGUAUUUACCUAUAUUUAUGCGUUUACUCAUUACUGAUAGGAAAUACAGUGUUUGAAAUAAGCAUUUGUCUCUGCAGUACGACGGGCCUAUAUAAUAGUUGUGUAAAUUUAACUCUUCAUUUCAGGCCGUUUCUCAAAAUACGUUCACAAGAAGUGAAAGAACAAAUACAUUACAACAUAACAGUAAUAAUUAAACAAUAAAGGUGAAAAAAAUUAAACUAAAAAGAAAGAAUCAUAAUAAUAAAAAAUAAACACAUUAUUAUAAUAAUGUCACAGACACGCCAGGCUCUACACUCACCCAAUCACAUCGCACUCCCUCUCCUGAGUACUGACAAGCUACACCUGACGCUCAUUCACACUCAUCACCACAGCCACAUAAAAGACACGCCAGUUCACUCAGUCACUGUCCGGUCUCGUUUACACAUGCCAGUGUUUACUUACCUCCAGGACUCCCUUUGCUCGACUACUUACCUGUCUCCAGCGUCUUCAGUGAUCCCUUGUGUCUCCUCGUCUCCUGUGCAUCUCCUGUGUGUUCAUCUGUUCCACAUCUCCCGGGAUCCACGCUUCCUAGAACACACAGACAAGUAUCAGUUCCAGUUCAUCGGCUCAUCGACCUUAUCAUCUGCCAUUACUCACCUGCACUCUGCUCACGCUCUGCUUUACCUGAAAUAAACCUGUUAACCCUUACCUGUGUCUCCGCUCCCUUCUGUACGUAACAAAUAAUAAUAAAAUACAUAAAACGCUAGUAUUACUACUACUUCUAAUAGUCGUAAUACAUAAAAUAAUAAUAGCAGUAAUAUCAAAAGUGAACAACGUGAAAAAAAAAAAAAAGCCAAUGGUGAAUCUAGAACAUAAGCGCAAUAAGACUUUUAUUUGCAAUGUUUUCCUCACUUUUGUAUUUUCAGAUUAGGGUUUGUCACACAAUGUUGUUGAAAUUACACCUUAAAAAUGUGGUUAAUGAAUGAAGAUAUGUGAAAGUGUAUGUGAAAGAAGUAACAGAUUUAUAAUAUAUAUAUAUAUAUAUAUAUAAUUAUUAUUAUUUUUACCCACAUUAAUGAAGCCAAACAUCACAUUUCACUCACAGAAUGAUAGAUGAACUUUAAAAUAAAAGCCUUCUGAAAUUGUUUAUAUGCUGUUUUUCUUCUGUAAAUUCACUAAAUUCACUGUAAAUUCAAAACUGUUUCCACUAGUUUCAGUUCUGAAUGAUAGUAAAUCACCUCAGAGUGUCACUCACACAGAGUCAGGACUGUCUGAUGAUGAGUUUCAAAAUAAAAGCCCCAUAAUAUAUCAUAUGACUAUUCUUAAAGAGAUCCUAUUAUGCCCUUUUACGAACUCUUGAUCAUAUUUUUAGGGUGUACUGGAUUAGGUUUUCCUGGUUGAUUCUUCAAAAAACAUUAUUUUUCACAAAUUUUACAUUAUUAUAGCUCUCUCUUCCCUGUCUGGCUCGCAUGACCUGUUUAGUUCCUGUUUCAUUGAAGCCCCUCCUUACAAAAUAUGAAAUGUGCUGUGACUGGAUAGCUGGCCCAGUGUGUUGUGAUUGACAAACAGCUUAAAGCGUGUUCAGGAAGUGUCACGGCCAUUAACAUAACCGCAAGUUUCAUCAGCUCAGGUGUAAAUAUUAACAACAGCGUCAAGUUUGCCAUACCUAUUUCGAGCAAUUAAUUUAUGCACAAACAGCAAAAUUACAGACUUACGGAGCCCAGCAUAUGACAUGCAGGAAAAAAAAAAAAAAAAGGCUAAAUCAUGCACACGCUUUACUAAGUCAUUCCCUCGAUUUACAAAUUGUGUGCACGAUUUACUAAAUUCGUUCCCUUGUUUUACAAAAUUGUGCGCACUAUUUACUAAGUCGUUCCCUCUAUUUAUAAAUCGUGCGCACAAUUUACUCAUUCGUUCUCUCGAUUUACUAAAUCGUGUGCACGAUUUACUUUUUUUCCUGCAUGUCAUAUUUGGGGCUCCGUACAGACUAACUAAAGUUGAAAAAGUGAAAAAGAAUAAUAGGAGCCCUUUAAGUGAAAUUGAUCUGUGGAAACAGGGAGUUUCAUUCUUAUGUCUAUCUGCAUUUAUACACAAAACAGGUUAUAUAUGAGUUGUUGAGGGCUUUUAUUGUGAAACUCACCAUCAGACAGUCCUGACAUUGUGUGCGUGACUCUCUGAGGUGAUGAACUGAACUUCACGAGUGAACACAGCUGAGAAUAAUCAGAAACAGAGUGAUUAAGAUCAAGAGGAAACUCAAGGAACAUAUGAACAAAAACAAAACAAAACUACACAUAACCCUGAUAAUAAUCAUAAUAACAUGAUAAAUGCUGUAAAUCAAAUGACAACUACA